rnacentral:rRNA from 1 species
GCGCGAAUUCGCCUUGUGCAGCAGCCGCGGUAAUACGURGGUGCAGCGUUGUCCGGAAUUAUUGGGCGUAAAGAGCUCGUAGGCGGUCUGUCGCGUCGGAUGUGAAAACCCAGGGCUCAACCCUGGGCCUGCAUUCGAUACGGGCAGACUAGAAUUCGGUAGGGGAGACUGGAAUUCCUGGUGUAGCGGUGAAAUGCGCAGAUAUCAGGAGGAACACCGGUGGCGAAGGCGGGUCUCUGGGCCGAUAUUGACGCUGAGGAGCGAAAGCUUGGGGGAGCGAACAGGAUUAGAUACCCUGGUAGUCCACGCCGUAAACGUUGGGCGCUAGGUGUGGGGGACAUUCCACGUUCUCCGUGCCGGCAGCUAACGCAUUAAGCGCCCCGCCUGGGGAGUACGGCCGCAAGGCUAAAAACUCAAAGGAAUUGACGGGGGCCCGCACAAGCGGCGGAGCAUGGUGGCUUAAUUCGACGCAACGCGAAGAACCUUACCAAGGCUUGACAUACAGGGAAAUCUCACAGAGAUGUGAGGUCCGCAAGGGUCCUGUACAGGUGGUGCAUGGUUGUCGUCAGCUCGUGUCGUGAGAUGUUGGGUUAAGUCCCGCGACGAGCGCAACCCUUGUCCUAUGUUGCCAGCGAGUCAUGUCGGGGACUCAUAGGAGACUGCCGGGGUCAACUCGGAGGAAGGUGGGGAUGACGUCAAAUCAUCAUGCCCCUUAUGUCUUGGGCUGCACACAUGCUACAAUGGCCGGUACAAAGGGCUGCUAAACCGCAAGGUGGGAGCGAAUCCCAAAAAGCUGGUCUCAGUUCGGAUUGGGGUCUGCAACUCGACCCCAUGAAGUCGGAGUCGCUAGUAAUCGCAGAUCAGCAACGCUGCGGUGAAUACGUUCCCGGGCCUUGUACACACCGCCCGUCACGUCACGAAAGUCGGUAACACCCGAAGCCGGUGGCCCAACCGCAAGGAGGGAGCCGUCGAAGGUGGGAUCGGCGAUUGGGACGAAGUCGUAACAAGGUAACCAA